GACGAACGCUGGCGGCGCGCCUAACACAUGCAAGUCGAACGAGCGAGAGAGAGCUUGCUUUCUCGAGCGAGUGGCGAACGGGUGAGUAACGCGUGAGGAACCUGCCUCAAAGAGGGGGACAACAGUUGGAAACGACUGCUAAUACCGCAUAAGCCCACAGGUCGGAAUCGACCAGAGGGAAAAGGAGCAAUCCGCUUUAAGAUGGCCUCGCGUCCGAUUAGCUAGUUGGUGAGGUAAUGGCCCACCAAGGCAACGAUCGGUAGCCGGACUGAGAGGUUGAACGGCCACAUUGGGACUGAGACACGGCCCAGACUCCUACGGGAGGCAGCAGUGGGGAAUAUUGCACAAUGGGGGAAACCCUGAUGCAGCGACGCCGCGUGGAGGAAGAAGGUCUUCGGAUUGUAAACUCCUGUUGUUGAGGAAGAUAAUGACGGUACUCAACAAGGAAGUGACGGCUAACUACGUGCCAGCAGCCGCGGUAAAACGUAGGUCACAAGCGUUGUCCGGAAUUACUGGGUGUAAAGGGAGCGCAGGCGGGAAGACAAGUUGGAAGUGAAAUCUAUGGGCUCAACCCAUAAACUGCUUUCAAAACUGUUUUUCUUGAGUAGUGCAGAGGUAGGCGGAAUUCCCGGUGUAGCGGUGGAAUGCGUAGAUAUCGGGAGGAACACCAGUGGCGAAGGCGGCCUACUGGGCACCAACUGACGCUGAGGCUCGAAAGUGUGGGUAGCAAACAGGAUUAGAUACCCUGGUAGUCCACACCGUAAACGAUGAUUACUAGGUGUUGGAGGAUUGACCCCUUCAGUGCCGCAGUUAACACAAUAAGUAAUCCACCUGGGGAGUACGACCGCAAGGUUGAAACUCAAAGGAAUUGACGGGGGCCCGCACAAGCAGUGGAGUAUGUGGUUUAAUUCGACGCAACGCGAAGAACCUUACCAAGUCUUGACAUCCUGCGACGCACAUAGAAAUAUGUGUUUCCUUCGGGACGCAGAGACAGGUGGUGCAUGGUUGUCGUCAGCUCGUGUCGUGAGAUGUUGGGUUAAGUCCCGCAACGAGCGCAACCCUUACUGUCAGUUACUACGCAAGAGGACUCUGGCAGGACUGCCGUUGACAAAACGGAGGAAGGUGGGGAUGACGUCAAAUCAUCAUGCCCUUUAUGACUUGGGCUACACACGUACUACAAUGGCGUUAAACAAAGAGAAGCAAGACCGCGAGGUGGAGCAAAACUCAGAAACAACGUCCCAGUUCGGACUGCGGGCUGCAACUCGCCUGCACGAAGUCGGAAUUGCUAGUAAUCGUGGAUCAGCAUGCCACGGUGAAUACGUUCCCGGGCCUU
rnacentral:rRNA from 1 species